CAGUUGGUCUAUAUCUUAUUGUAACCUUGGACAACCUUCUACACUGUCCACUCUACCACUAAUUUUGGGAACAUUUCCUUCUC